GACGAACGCUGGCGGCGUGCUUAACACAUGCAAGUCGAACGGAAAGGCCCUGCUUUUGUGGGGUGCUCGAGUGGCGAACGGGUGAGUAACACGUGAGUAACCUGCCCUCGACUUUGGGAUAACUUCAGGAAACUGGGGCUAAUACCGGAUAGGAGCUCCUGCUGCAUGGUGGGGGUUGGAAAGUUUCGGCGGUUGGGGAUGGACUCGCGGCUUAUCAGCUUGUUGGUGGGGUAGUGGCUUACCAAGGCUUUGCCGGGUAGCCGGCCUGAGAGGGUGACCGGCCACAUUGGGACUGAGAUACGGCCCAGACUCCUACGGGAGGCAGCAGUGGGGAAUAUUGCACAAUGGGCGGAAGCCUGAUGCAGCAACGCCGCGUGCGGGAUGACGGCCUUCGGGUUGUAAACCGCUUUCGCCUGUGACGAAGCGUGAGUGACGGUAAUGGGUAAAGAAGCACCGGCUAACUACGUG
rnacentral:rRNA from 1 species